rnacentral:rRNA from 1 species
CCACAAGGGGUGAAGCCUGCGGUUCAAUUGGAGCCAACGCCAGGAAACUUACCAGGAGCGACAGCAGGUUGAGAGUCAGGCUGAAGGCUUUACUUGACGAGCUGAGAGGAGGUGCAUGGCCGUCGCCAGCUCGUGCCGUGAGGCGUCCUGUUAAGUCAGGCAACGAGCGAGACCCUUGCCAGUAAUUGCUAGCCGCGAUUGCAAGAUUGCGGAGGCUAGUUACAGGGACUGCCGCUGCUAAAGCGGAGGAAGGAGAGGGCCACGGCAGGUCAGUAUGCCCCGAAACUCCUGGGCCACACGCGGGCUGCAAUGGUAGGGACAGUGGGUUCCGACCUCGACAGAGGAAGGCAAUCCUCAAACCCUACCCCAGUUGUGAUUGAGGGCUGAAACCCGCCCUCAUGAAUAUGGAAUCCCUAGUAACCGCGUGUCAUCAUCGCGCGGUGAAUACGUCCCUGCUCCUUGU